rnacentral:rRNA from 1 species
UGCUUAUACAUGCAAGUCGAACGGUCCUCGCAAGAGGAUAGUGGCGAACGGGUGAGUAACGCGUUGGUGACCUGCCCCGGAGCGGGGGAUAACAGUUCGAAAGGACUGCUAAUACCCCAUAAACUAGAGGGAACUAGAACCCCUUUAGGAAAGGCGAAAGCCACUCUGGGAGGGGCCUGCGUCCCAUCAGCUAGUUGGUAAGGUAAAGGCUUACCAAGGCGAUGACGGGUAGGGGACCUGAGAGGGUGACCCCCCACAAUGGAACUGAAACACGGUCCAUACACCUACGGGUGGCAGCAGUAGGGAAUAUUGGUUAAUGGGCGAAAGCCUGACCCAGCAACGCCGCGUGUGCGAUGAAGGCCUUCGGGUCGUAAAGCACUUUUUAGUGGGAUGAGGAAGGACAGUACCACUAGAAUAAGUCUCGGCUAACUACGUGCCAGCAGCCGCGGUAACACGUAGGAGACAAGCGUUAUCCGGAUUUACUGGGUGUAAAGCGCGUGUAGGCGGCUCUGUAAGUUGGAUGUGAAAGCUCCUGGCUUAACUGGGAGAGGUUGUUCAAGACUGCAGGGCUUGAGGGUAACAGAGGGGAGUGGAAUUCCGAGUGUAGCGGUAAAAUGCAUAGAUAUUCGGAAGAACACCAGUGGCGAAAGCGGCUCUCUGGGUUACAUCUGACACUCAGACGCGAAAGCUAGGGGAGCAAACGGGAUUAGAGACCCCGGUAGUCCUAGCCGUAAACGAUGUGAACUUGGCGUUGGUGGGUUUAAAUCCGUCAGUGCCGAAGCAAACGCGAUAAGUUCACCACCUGGGGACUACGGCCGCAAGGUUAAAACUCAAAGGAAUUGACGGGGGCCCGCACAAGCAGCGGAGCGUGUGGUUUAUUUCGAUGUUACACGAAGAACCUUACCAGGGUUUGACAUGUGAGUGGUAGAGAAGCGAAAGCGGAUCGACCCUUCGGGGAGCUUGCACAGGUGCUGCAUGGCUGUCGUCAGCUCGUGUCGUGAG